GGGUCUGUGAGAUGAACAAGAAGAGGAAGAUGUCACUGCACAUCUUUGACUUGACUGGAUGCAGACAGACUACUCCAUCCCUAUAUUCAGUACAGUAGAGUGCAGGAGCGUUCUCAUCUGCCUUCCUAUCCUCUCUAUGAGGUUUCUCUCCCCUUUCUCUGCCUUCUAGUAGAACAGAGGAGAAAACUGCGAACUCUCCCUGCAGAACCAGCUCCUGGAGAAGAACCAAGUGUGGUGUGGUCUUGUCAGCCUGUUACCUAAGCAAGAGUAACAAGAUCAUGUGGGACUUACCAGGGUCUCGGUCAUUGUUCUGCACACACAACCACAGACAGUACAACAGCAGCCUCCAGACCCUUGUUGCUGACCUUUGAGGACGCUGGGCAUCUAAGGCGAUGAAAGGAGACAGAGACAGAGACCCACACUGGAGUACCGGACUGAAAUCUCAAGGUCCAAAUCAGGAGCAGAAGGAGAGAGAGCACGAGCAAGGAACUCAGGACCACGAGGGGUGCACCCACACACUGAGACAAUGGGGAUGUUCUAUCAGGAACUCACGAAGGUCAGCUGGCCCCGGUCUAAAGAAGCAUGGGAUAAAACUGGACUCGCUGAACAUAGCAGACAAUGAGGACUACUGAGAACUCAAGAACAAUGGCAAUGGGUUUUUGAUCCUACUGCACGUACUGGCUUUGUGGGAGCCUAGGCAGUUUGGAUGCUCACCUUACUGGACCUGGAUGGAGGUGGGUGGUCCUUGGACUUCCCACAGGGCAG